ACUCCCUCCGUCCAAGAAAAAAACGCAAUUGUAUGACCAGACACGUGGACCAAUGCAAGUGGUGAAAUUAUCUAAAUGCCCCUAUGAUUUGCUGUACACACAUGAAAAAAAAAUCCUACAGUAUUAACCGUCAGAAUGCCCAGUGCCGCCGGACAUGCAUAUUCGGAUAGGAACAAGAAGGUUCGCGAUUACUUUUAUGGGCAAGAUUUCUCUUUUUUUUUAUUAUUUUAUACAAGAGUAGGAUACGUGUCGUGCGGUGGUUUCAUUAGUGGAAGAGUGCAGGCCUAUCCGGCUACUGUUUUGAGCAUUCUUUGCUGGACAAAAUUCAAAUGCUAGGAUUGUGUUAUUUUUUGGACGGAGGGAGUAUGGCCCAACGCCGUGUGUCCUGGUUCCAUGUUGCAGGACAAAACGCGGAUCAAAGACGGGACGGCACAUGAUAUGAUCGUGAGAUGAUUUUUCUCGACCGAGGACAAAAAAUAAGGUCAUGUUUAGUUCAAAAAAAUUUCAGAUUCAUCGUCACAUUAAAUCUUACGGCAUAUACAACACUAAAUAUAGAUUUAAAAAUAACUAAUUGCAUACUGCGAGACAAAUCUUUUGAGCCUAGUUAGUCUAUAAUUGAAUAAUAAUUGUUAAAUUCAAACGAAAAUACUACGGUACACAAAACUAAAAAAUUUUCUAACUAAACAAGGCCUAAAGAAAGAAGAUACAAAACCAUCAACUGAACAGCCCGUCCGAUAAAAGGCGGCACGUGAUCGUGAAGAAAGGGGGUCGUUUUCUCAAUUUGCUGG
rnacentral:lncRNA from 1 species